rnacentral:snRNA from 1 species
UUCAACCAAGCGCGGGUA